GGUGAGAUGGCCGAGCGGUUAAGGCGCCAGAUUAAGGUUGAUCGAUUGAUCGAUCAGGGACCCAAUCACAUUGUGAUUACGUAAUAUCUGGUCCGAAAGGGCGUGGGUUCGAAUCCCACUCUCAUCA